CAGCCAUGCCCGUUUCUCCCUGGCUUCCUCCCCGCUGUCCAAGCUGGAUGCUCCGAGCCCGGCGCCCCACUGCUCACAAGGUAGACCCUGCAAACCAGCACCUUUGCCCACUCAGAGGUUCCCGCUGCUGCUGGGGGCUCAGCCCUCUGGGUUGUGGGGGAGGGGUCCUGGGACCUUCGCUCUGCCUUCCCCUUAACCCUGAGUAUUCUCAGAUUCCAGCUUUUGGGGGGCGUACCUUUUGAUUUGAGUCCAGAAGGAUGGUUCCCCGCUUCUGUCCUGUUGUUCAGAUUGAAUUUCGGUGCCCUAGGAGCAUUCAGUCUGUAUCGGUAAGGAAGGGUCUUCCACUUGGUCUGAACUUUUGCUGCUUGCUAAGCUGCCAUCUUGACUCCGCCCCCCACCAAUGGCAUAUUUUAAAGACAAAAGAAGAAGAAGAAAAGAAAUCAGGAUAACUGAACAAUAAAUUGAAAAAGCCUGAAAACAUUUGAUAUGUAACACCUUUGCACCUCCACCUCCAAAAAGAAGUAGGUUGCAGGUGACCUUUCAAAUCUGUUCAUUUGCAUCAUACCUGAUCUUUAUACUUUUGUAACAUUCACUUUGGACCUUUUAGCAUGUUGUUAUUAUUUUAUUUACUUGUGAAUUGUUUUAUUGGUUCCACUUUCUUUGCUCAGUAUCAGUGCAUGUAACUCUUUCCAUGCUCCUCUGAAUUCAUCUCACAAAUCACUUCUUAUAACAAUAAUGUUCUCUUACAUUCAUAUGGGACAGUUUGUUCAGCCAUUCCCUAUUAGUGGGCAUUGUGGAAAGGAAAACUGAAUCAAACUUGUGCAUUUCUGCCACUUAGGUCGAGCAGACAACAGUUGGAAUGUGAUGGGAGGGGCUUUGACAGUUGGAGUGGGAGAAGAGAAUUGUGGGAAGAACUGCUAAUGGAAAAGGGUCUUUGUUCUCUGAACUUGACUGAGUGUGGAGCGAAGACCAGGAGCUCAAUAUCCCAACCUAUGGACUACCUUUCCUCCAUUUCCCUUACCCUGGAGAAGAAAAAGAAGGUUCCUGUAGGUGUGAGAACAUUCAUUAGAGGAAAAACAAGACAAAAGAAUUUGAACCAUUAAAAGAGAAAUAUUCAAGACUCCUGUGCAAUCACUUAGAGCUAGAAAGGCUCAGGUUGUGUUCUGAAAAAACAGGAAAGGGGACUCCUUUCUUUCUUGGAAAGCAAAGCUGAUCACAUGGAAUUGAAGAUAAGGAAAAGUAUCAUGCCCAUGGGUAAUUUUUCAGAAUCAUUUGAUUUCUAGAGCUCCAGAAACAGAUGACUGAUGCUCCAAAGAACACCAUGGAUUCAGUGAGUCCCUUCAGACUUGGCCAAUGAACAUUUUGCAGCGGCGGCAUGGUGAACUAAUUUUCUUCACCUACUAAAUUGAUUGAAAUGGGGCACAAAUUUCAAGAUAUUAAUUAUUGCUUAAUCCUCUCCUCCAUGGCUUUUCCCCUGGUGUAUUCAUCAGAAAAGCAACCAUGUCUGAGGUGGGAAUUACUAUUCUCUGCCAGAAAAAAAAAUGCAUUUUAAUUUGCUGUGGCAUGAUUUCAAGCAUUGUAGUUCUGUGGAAGAAUUGAGAAUUGCUUAUGAAUUCUUAAGCACCAAUCAAAUUAUUUGAUAAAGUAAAUUAAGGAAGCCAGGAAUAUAUUCUAUUUUUUCCAUCCCCCUAAAUUUUGAACAUUAAGUGUACAAAAGCACUUAGAGAAAAUGUUAUAGCUUUUUCCUAAGGGAAAGGCAAACGACCUUCUCUCCCUCUAUCCACUAAUGCUUCUUUUUAUAUAAAAGAUCCAUCCAUUUGCUCUUAAUAGCAAAUAACAUACUAGAUCCUCCAAAUGGGCAGCUGUACAAGGCUAUCAUUUAAUAAAGAAUAAAAACCUGUACAUUUGGGUGAUAAUUUAAGGGCCUUAAUGUUCACCCUGGUAUUGGAUUGUUUCAGGGAAGCCGUCACAAGCGUGUCAAUUACCUAAAUGGAUUAGGUUUGAUGUUGGUUUUUAUUAUAGUGCCUUCCUAUUGUGGAAACCUAAAUCAUUGUGAUAUUUCCUAUGCUAAAGAUUUCCUAAAUAAACUCCCAGAGGAAAAGAAAGUAUUUAUUCACUGUGUUUUAGUGGCUAUUAGUGAAGGGAAGGCAGAUCCCAUAGUGCCCAGUACCGAUUCUGUAAAAAACCAAAAUGGUGGAAAGUUACCCUGAUAUCCAAGUGGUAAAUGGUAGCUAAGGACUCCAGGAGGAGUCCUUUUUUAGCAUCCAUCCUUUUUAUACCUUCCAGAAGAGAGAAAAUGAUGCCUUCUCCAUUUUUAGUUUAUCUAGUUUGGCUGAGAGAUACAGAUAUGGUACAAUGGAACAGGCAUAGGCUUUAGAAGGAUUAGGGUUUCCCUAGAACCAGAAAGAAAAAUCAGAAGCCUUGCUCUGGAUACUCAUUCUGCUAGUGGAGCUCUGGCUGAGAGACUGAGCCUUUAUGUUAGCUACCUAAACAUUUUGCACACAAAGAUGAUGACAGUAGGACAUUUGGGUUGGUUCACACCCCCUCCUUUCCCCCAGUAAUCAUGGGAUAAUACAUUUAGAGCUGAAAGGGAUCAGAUACUGAAUAUGAGUCUUGGCUCCUGUGUUUACUAUUUGUGAGACUGUGGGCUGGUAUGUGGGUUCAGAUCCUGGCUUUACCAUAGACCACCUAUGUGAUCUUGAAAAAAAAAUCACUCAAUUUCUCUGUGUAUCAUAAUCCAUCAAUCAACAUUUAUUAAGUGCCUACUAUGUGCUAAGAUCUGGGGGGUACAAAAAGAAGCAAAGGACAGGCUCUAUCCUUAAGUAGCUUACAAUCUAAAGAAAAUAAUGUAAAAUGACAGGCUUAGAUAGUGGAUUAGAAAUUCUCUACAGUGCUUUACAAUUAAUAUAUUAAACAAUUUUACUAUGGUCAUUAUCUAUUUCCUCCUCUCUCUCAGGACAAAUUUACUCAGAUUGGAUGAGGAAAACAGGAUCAUAGAAUUAGAAAUCAAAGUGAAUUUAGAGAUCAUGUACACCAACUUUAUUAUUUCAAAGAAGAGAGCAUUGAAGGGUAGAGAGAGUAAAUGACUUGCUCAAGCUAAUAGAAUCUUCCCUAAACCCCUUGAGUAUUCCUGACUAUGUAUACACAUCCAUCCUGAUAUUUGAAAAGACUUUUCCUUUCCUAGUCAGAGCUUUAGAAGACAAAGGCAACACUGGGUUUAGAGUAUAAACUGACUUGUAAGACACUGUGUAGGACAAUGGCAGAUGAUUCUGAGAAGUAUUGCUUCAUAUAAAAGUAAAAAGAAGUAAGGGAAAAACGAGACUGAAUAAAAUUUGUCAUGACUUUCAAUUAAACACAUGUUAAGAGUCUACUAUUUGUCAGGCAGUCUGCUA